rnacentral:rRNA from 1 species
ACGGAAGGCAGCAGUGAGGGAUAUUGGUCAAUGGGCGGAAGCCUGAACCAGCCAAGUCGCGUGAAGGAUGAAGGUAUUAUGUAUUGUAAACUUCUUUAGCAGCAGAGUAAUAAGGGAGUCGAGACUCCUGAUGCAAGUAUGCUGAAAAUAAGGAUCGGCUAACUCCGUGCCAGCAGCCGCGGUAAUACGGAGGAUCCGAGCGUUAUCCGGAUUUAUUGGGUUUAAAGGGUGCGCAGGCGGUUUUUUAAGUCAGUGGUCAAAUCGCGGAGCUCAACUCCGUCCCGCCAUUGAUACUGGGAGACUUGAUUGCGGUCGAGGUUGGCGGAAUUCGUCGUGUAGCGGUGAAAUGCAUAGAUAUGACGAAGAACACCGAUUGCGUAGGCAGCUGACCAGGCCGUAAAUGACGCUCAUGCACGAAAGUGCGGGGAUCGAACAGGAUUAGAUACCCUGGUA